rnacentral:lncRNA from 1 species
UUUUUUUUUUAAAUAUAACCAUCUUAAUUAGCCCUGUAAUAUAGUAAAGCAUAUAAAAUAUAUUCGAGAGAGAGAAAGAUUGGGGGAGUUUGUCAGGAAUUGUAUAGAUUUUCUAAAUGUGGAUUCAAGAAAGCCAUGUAUGACUAGAUCCAGAAGGGGGUAAUAAGUUGUGACAGCUGCUAGCAAGGCUGAUUUAAAGUCCAAAGAUCAUGCCUGGGCCUGAUCCUUCAGCUGAAUGUGAGGCUCCGUGUGUGUGUGAGAGAGAGAUGUUCCUGACAGACUGUGGGGUUUUUUUUUGGUUUGUUUUUUUAAUAAAAUGCACACCUGUGCUUCUUUUAUCCUCACCUGUCUUCUGGCUAUUUGCCUACAGGAUUUUCCUGACCUGUUUUCCAUUUCAAACAGGAGAGCAUUUUUUUAGUGUUUACACCAUGGACAUGGGGACGAAGAGAAUGCCAGAUAUUAAUAUUUAUUUACAAGUUGGCGAGCUUCCAUUUACCAGGGUAGUCAGCCUGAAUAAUUAGACACGGAGAGAGAAAAAUCACUCAUGCUCAAGAUAGACUUCAAACAUUGUUACUAUAGCACUCCACAUACAAUAUAGGGCUGAUCUCAUUGUGACUGAAUCACCGUCCUUUUCAUACGCCAUAAAGCUUGUGUUUCCCAGAACUGCACAGCAUUGGUAAUUAACCUAAUGCUUUGCAUUCUGUUCAACAGCAGCUAGGAAUCUAAAUAAUGAACUGGCACUUCCAGAAUCUUUAGACACACACACAGGCAGUCUGUUCUAAACUAGGUUUGUCAACUACAACUCCCUCCCAUAAUUCUCUGUUCAUCUAGUUCAUUAAAAAGUGUGGUUUUUUUUGUCUAUCAACAUCUGAGUGUCUGAUGUUGACAGUUCCUAACAGUUGUAUUAAUGGUUGCUGAUAAAUGGCUGCAAAAAUGUGGACUGAGUGAGUUCCUAAAGGGGAACGGUUACUUACCAACUUUCUAAUAUUAGGUUUACAUAUUCCAAUACUUAAGGGUAUAGUAUAAUCACCAAACCCACUACAGCUUAAUGUACUUGUUCUGGAGUCUACAUUAAAUGCCUGCAGGAACAAGCAGUAAACACUGCCUUCUUAGUAGUGUUUACAUUACUGCCGAGGGACACCUAUACUGGCAGUCACUACGGCCUCUAAAGGCGCUUCAAUGUCUCCAUGUAGUGAUGUGCCGAACGGUUCGCCGCGGACGGCGAACAUAUGACCCUGUACCCCACAGUCAGCAGACACAUUCCAGCCAAUCAGCAGCAGACCAGUCUGCUGCUGAUUGGCUGGAAUGUGUCUGCUGACUGUGAGGUACAGGGUCAAAGUUUACCGCAUAUGUUCGCCGUCCGCUGCAAACGGUUCGGGACAUCACUAUCUCCAUGCUCUGCAUGGAGGCGCUGAAAUUUCCUCAUAGAGAUUCUGAUUAAUGCAAAGCAUCUUGAACUCAUCCAAGGAGGGAGGGGAGCAUGGGCGGGGCCAUCUGCGACUGGACCCGCGAGGCACUGGAAAAAAGGAGUAACUCGCCAUUUUAAACUAAAGGUAAAGGAGGGGUGGGGCUAAACAGCUAUUUAGACCUACAGUGUCCAGAACAAACAUUUGUAUUCCUGACACUAUAUUGUUCCUUUAACAAUUGUGUAUUUAUGAGGUGUGAAAAAUAUAGUAGGUAGAGAAAUCCACACCUCUAUCCCUUUUUGCUCCCGGUCAGCCAUUGUUAUAAGCUCUGUCCUUUGUAUCUGGCAGUCAGCACUAAGAGGAGAACAAUGGGGCUAAUAUGUAAAAAUAGUUGCAUAUGUUUAUGCACUAGGUAAGUUAAGUAUAAAACUGUUACUUCACCUUGAUAGACGGGGGACAUUUUAUUGGAUUUUCACCUUUUCCGUAACUAUAUGAUAUAUUACCAAAGCCUUUACAGGAAAUAAAGAUAGGCACACUAUUGCACUGUUUGUUUUUGUUUUGUUUGUUUUUUAAUAAUAUACAUUGACAGCGCCACUAUUUAAAAUGUAAAAAAAAACGUGCCGAACAAAACUGUUGGAAGGGUGCAAAAAGAAAAAAAUGUGGUGCAGAACAAUACAAUUUUAUAAAAAAAAAAAAAAAAGUGUGCAUUAGAACCGCUUUGCCAUUUUUUAUAAAUCUCCUCCGCUGUCUUGAUUUCUCCUCUUCAUUUGAACUAAUUGCCAUAGCAUUACCUUGUCUGGCCUUAUGAUGUCAAUUGCUACAUUUAAAAUAAAAUUAAAGGAAAGCUGAG